rnacentral:rRNA from 3 species
CGUAUCACCCAAGACAACUUUACGGAGUUGACGAUUGACGGAGCGAAGCGACGUCAAAGCGUUCAUUAAAGUCGAGUUGGCUUAGGGAUACGUUCGUUGGGUAGGGGAGCGUUCUGUAAGCCUGUGAAGGUGUGUCGUGAGGCAUGCUGGAGGUAUCAGAAGUGCGAAUGCUGACAUAAGUAACGAUAAAGCGGGUGAAAAGCCCGCUCGCCGGAAGACCAAGGGUUCCUGUCCAACGUUAAUCGGGGCAGGGUGAGUCGACCCCUAAGGCGAGGCCGAAAGGCGUAGUCGAUGGGAAACGGGUUAAUAUUCCCGUACUUGGUGUUACUGCGAAGGGGGGACGGAGAAGGCUAUGUUGGCCGGGCGACGGUUGUCCCGGUUUAAGCGUGUAGGUGUGUGUUCCAGGUAAAUCCGGUUCACUUUAACACUGAGGCGUGACGACGAGGCACUACGGUGCUGAAGCAACAAAUGCCCUGCUUCCAGGAAAAGCCUCUAAGCAUCAGGUAACACGAAAUCGUACCCCAAACCGACACAGGUGGUCAGGUAGAGAAUACCAAGGCGCUUGAGAGAACUCGGGUGAAGGAACUAGGCAAAAUGGUGCCGUAACUUCGGGAGAAGGCACGCUGACACGUAGGUGAAGUGAUUUACUCAUGGAGCUGAAGUCAGUCGAAGAUACCAGCUGGCUGCAACUGUUUAUUAAAAACACAGCACUGUGCAAACACGAAAGUGGACGUAUACGGUGUGACGCCUGCCCGGUGCCGGAAGGUUAAUUGAUGGGGUCAGCGUAAGCGAAGCUCCUGAUCGAAGCCCCGGUAAACGGCGGCCGUAACUAUAACGGUCCUAAGGUAGCGAAAUUCCUUGUCGGGUAAGUUCCGACCUGCACGAAUGGCGUAAUGAUGGCCAGGCUGUCUCCACCCGAGACUCAGUGAAAUUGAACUCGCUGUGAAGAUGCAGUGUACCCGCGGCAAGACGGAAAGACCCCGUGAACCUUUACUAUAGCUUGACACUGAACAUUGAGCCUUGAUGUGUAGGAUAGGUGGGAGGCUUUGAAGUGUGGACGCCAGUCUGCAUGGAGCCGACCUUGAAAUACCACCCUUUAAUGUUUGAUGUUCUAACGUGGACCCGUAAUCCGGGUUGCGGACAGUGUCUGGUGGGUAGUUUGACUGGGGCGGUCUCCUCCUAAAGAGUAACGGAGGAGCACGAAGGUUGGCUAAUCCUGGUCGGACAUCAGGAGGUUAGUGCAAUGGCAUAAGCCAGCUUGACUGCGAGCGUGACGGCGCGAGCAGGUGCGAAAGCAGGUCAUAGUGAUCCGGUGGUUCUGAAUGGAAGGGCCAUCGCUCAACGGAUAAAAGGUACUCCGGGGAUAACAGGCUGAUACCGCCCAAGAGUUCAUAUCGACGGCGGUGUUUGGCACCUCGAUGUCGGCUCAUCACAUCCUGGGGCUGAAGUAGGUCCCAAGGGUAUGGCUGUUCGCCAUUUAAAGUGGUACGCGAGCUGGGUUUAGAACGUCGUGAGACAGUUCGGUCCCUAUCUGCCGUGGGCGCUGGAGAACUGAGGGGGGCUGCUCCUAGUACGAGAGGACCGGAGUGGACGCAUCACUGGUGUUCGGGUUGUCAUGCCAAUGGCACUGCCCGGUAGCUAAAUGCGGAAGAGAUAAGUGCUGAAAGCAUCUAAGCACGAAACUUGCCCCGA